rnacentral:lncRNA from 1 species
UGAAAAGAAAAGGUUUUGGCGAAGUCGUCGACUUGAAAGUAAAGUUCGAAGAAAAAGUAGAUUUAUUGUAUUGAUUGAUGUUGUAUCUACAAGCCUCACGAGGCAGCUAUUUAUACCCUGUUACAACUAAUUUCUUAACUAACUAGGAUCUAUCUCCAAUUUUAAACCAUAACAAAUAUUGACAAACACAACUCGUAUCGGAGUUGGUUACCAUCUCCCCACGGGCCAAUCUUCUUAUUUAGCUAAUCAUCAUCUUGGCCCACCUCAGGCCCACACUGGUCAAGCCAUCCUGACUUCCCAAUCAGCCAGCCUCUACUAACUCCUUCUGUCAGUCGGCCGAAACAUUGUAACUUUAAUCGGCCAAUUCCCAGUUGUAGCUUCUAGCCGCCGCACUGUCCGCCUUUCUUCUCCUUUGACGCUGAUUCCAAACACGUGUCAAAAUCCGGCGUCAACACAUGCCCCCCCAGUUUCGGAGUAAAACACAACUUUUGCUUUGAAACUUUUUCAACCCUAACUCCUUCCCCAAAGAAAACGCAACAGUAAGCACGGCGAAUGCUUCCUUUUUGCUCCGCAGUUCUCUCUCUGAUGAUUGCGAUUUUUUGAACGAAGCGCUUGCAGGCAACCGCUAUCCCUGAAAUUUGUCUAGACAGCACGGUAAAAAUCCCGCCUUUACCCUUCUCUCGAACCAUCCUUAAAUACUCGCAUCCUCCGCCGCUUCUUCUCCACAAACUUAGAAUCCUUCCCUCUCCAGCAAAUCACCUCCCGUUGCAUUCCGGCGUCCUUUCAGCUUCCAGCUGCAUCCCUCUAGCGAUUCUCCCUUCAUCUUCUGAUCUCCUCACUCUUGUUUAUUCUAAUGGUGAUCCCAUCGGCGACCAUGGCCUUCAUCCC